CAGUCUUGAGUCCAGUAGAGGUGGCAGGAAUUCGUGGUGUAGCGGUGAAAUGCUUAGAUAUCACGAAGAACUCCGAUUGCGAAGGCAGCUCACUGGACUGCAACUGACACUGAUGCUCGAAAGUGUGGGUAUCAAACAGGAUUAGAUACCCUGGUAGUCCACACAGUAAACGAUGAAUACUCGCUGUUUGCGAUAUACAGUAAGCGGCCAAGCGAAAGCAUUAAGUAUUCCACCUGGGGAGUACGCCGGCAACGGUGAAACUCAAAGGAAUUGACGGGGGCCCGCACAAGCGGAGGAACAUGUGGUUUAAUUCGAUGAUACGCGAGGAACCUUACCCGGGCUUAAAUUGCAGUGGAAUGAUGUGGAAACAUGUCAGUGAGCAAUCACCGCUGUGAAGGUGCUGCAUGGUUGUCGUCAGCUCGUGCCGUGAGGUGUCGGCUUAAGUGCCAUAACGAGCGCAACCCUUAUCUUCAGUUACUAACAGGUCAUGCUGAGGACUCUGGAGAGACUGCCGUCGUAAGAUGUGAGGAAGGUGGGGAUGACGUCAAAUCAGCACGGCCCUUACGUCCGGGGCUACACACGUGUUACAAUGGGGGGUACAGAAGGCAGCUAGCGGGUGACCGUAUGCUAAUCCCAAAAUCCUCUCUCAGUUCGGAUCGAAGUCUGCAACCCGACUUCGUGAAGCUGGAUUCGCUAGUAAUCGCGCAUCAGCCACGGCGCGGUGAAUACGUUCCCGGGCCUUGUACAGGCCGCCCGUCAAGCCAUGAGAGCCGGG
rnacentral:rRNA from 1 species